GUUAUAGACACGGAUCCCACUGCAAAACCCAACCUUCUCUGACUCCCAUCUCCCCAUUUACUUACACAAUAAAUAGCAGAGGAUUUGAGUGGAAAGGGGGCACGGGUUUUGGCCAGUCUGAAAGUCCACACUGAUGGGCAUGUGAUCCCUUUGCAGUGACAAGACUACAACUCCCAUCAUAAGCUGACGAUGGGAGUUGCACACCAGGGAGGGAGUGAACAGAAUAUCGUCCACGUAUUGCAUGGAAAUGGUCUUCCAAAGUUGGGCAGCGCAAGUCUCCUACGCAGAGAUGGCAACAUUUUUUCAGGCUUGGGACUACGAGGAGAAUAUCAUCCACGUAUUGCAUGGAGAUGAUCUUCCAGAGUCCAGAAACAGAGGCCUCAUACGCAGAAAUUCGGCUCGGGACCAACAGGAGAAUAUCAUCCAUAUAUUGCAUGGAGAUGAUCUUCCAGAGUCCAGAAACAGAGGCCUCAUAUGCAGAAAUUCAGCUCGGGACCAACAGGAGAAUAUCGUCCACGUAUUGCAUGGAGAUGAUCUUCCAGAGUCUGGAAACGGAGGCCUCAUACGCAGAGAUAACAUUUCUUCUAGCUUGGGACAAACAGGAGAAUAUCGUCCAUGUAUUGCAGGGAGAUGAUCUUCCAGAGUUCAGCAAUGGAGGCCUCAUACGCAGAGAUAACAUUUCUUCCAUCUUGAAACAAACAGGAGAAUGUCAUCCACGUAUUGCAGGGAGAUGAUCUUCCAGAGUCUGGAAACGGAGGCCUCAUACGCAGAGAUAACAUUUCUUCUAGCUUGGGACAAACAGGAGAAUAUCAUCCAUGUAUUGCAGGGAGAUGAUCUUCUAGAGUCCGGAAAUGGAGGCCUCAUACGCAGAGAUAACAUUUCUUCCAGCUUGGGACAAACAGGAGAAUAUCGUCCAUGUAUUGCAGGGAGAUGAUCUUCCAGAGUCCAGCAACGGAAGGCUCGUAUGCAGAGAUGGCAUCCUCUUCUGUCUUGUAAGACAUAGUGAUCCUUUCCCUUCCCUUUCGCUCACAAAAAUGACUUUUGAUGCAAACUGGAAGCCUCCCUCGUUCCGACGUGACCUCUUUCUCCCUCAGUUCCUAUACAGAUUUUGCUUUGUGUCUUGGCGCUUUCCUCGUUCAAAAACCCAUUCAGACAUGCAUCGAAAAGAAAGAAAAAGGGACCAGCGGCACCGAGGGAUUCCUAUGUACAGGUGGGUUUUUCUCUCUCUACAUAUUUACUGCUAGUACCAUGACUAAAACACACGCCGGGGGGAUGCUGGGUCCUGGAGUCCGCGGGAUUCCCAAAAAGGGUUUUCCUAUCAUCUUUGCUGGAGAUGCGGAAACGGGACGACUCUUGUAAACACAGACUCUGCAGGGCAGAAUGUAACUCUUUCCUCCUCGCACGAAGUAACCCGAGAAGGAGUUCUUUAUCUUAUAGGAUGCAACUCGGAGUGGAGUUCCUUCUCUUUCGUAGAAGUAACUCGAGGUGGAGUUCCUUCUCUUCCUUAUAAGAAGAAACUUGAGGUUUGAGUUCUUCUAAGAAGUUACUCGAGAUGGAGUUCGUUCUCUUUUCUUAUACACUGAAGUGGAGUUCCUUCUCUUCCUUAUAAGAAGUUACUCGAGGUGGAGUGUCCUUGGCACCCGCAAAGGGAGCCUGGCGCCGCUCUCGGCGGAAACAGAAGCAAACCAUCUCUCUCUUUUGUAUGGAAAACUCAAAAAAUUUGGCAAAUUAGAGGCAGGCCGGCUCCGAUCCGGCCACGCUUCCCAUCGAGUAGCAGCAACAGGAGGACGGCGGAAGGCCGACAUGGCGGCGAGUGCCGACGGUCCGUCCUCGUGAACUCGGGAGGGUCGCAGGCCCUCGGAACUGCUGUCCGUCUGUCCGUGGGGAGGUCCGCCCGCCCGUCCUUCGGCUCCACCCUCCCCUGCUCCUCCCCGAACUCUAGGUCUUCUCUUCGCGGUCUGUCUUCCGCCGGGUGAUGUUCCGGGGCUUGAUCUUGAGCGAGAGUUCCCACAAAGCCUCCUCGGCCAAAUGGUCGCUGAAGUCGUUGAAGAAGGAGAUGAUGUCGUCGUUGCGCCGGAUGUCGUAAUGCCUGCAAAUGACACAAGAGAGACCGAGAGGAAAUAAAUGUGAGGGACAUACUCAUAGAAUUAUAGAAGAGUUGGAAGAGACCUCAUGGGCCAUCUAGUCCAACCCCCUGCCAAGAAGCAGGAAAUCGCAUAACACAACACUCACUGGCGUGGUGUUAUGUGUGUUGUAAUAGUGCUGUGGUUUUUCAACCCUGUUGUAUCCCCCCAGCUACCUCGAGAUACCAGGAGAGGUGGGUAAUAAAUUAUUAUUAUUAUUGUUAUCGGAUUAUAUUAUUUAAUUAUAUUGCUAGAUUAUAUUCCUAUUAUUAUAUUAUUAUUAUUAUAUUAUAAUAUUUUAUUGGAGCCUCUGGUGGCCUAGGGGAUAAAAGCCUCGUGACAUGAAGGUUGGGUUGCUGACCUGAAGGCUGCCAGGUUCGAAUCCCACCCAGGGAGAGCGUGGAUGAGCUCCCUCUGUCAGCUCCAGCUCCAUGCGGGGACAUGAGAGAAGCCUCCCACAAGGAUGGUAAAACAUCAGAACAUCCAGAAGUCCCCUGGGCAACGUCCUUGCAGACGGCCAAUUCUCUCACUCCAGAAGCAACUCUGGUUGCUCCUGACAUGAAAAAAAAAUUAAAAAAUAUUUUAUUAUUAGACCAUAUUACUAUAUCAUAUUGGUAUAUUAUAUUUCUAAUAUAUUAAUAGAUUAUAUUUAUAUUAUACUGCUAUAUUAU
rnacentral:lncRNA from 1 species